rnacentral:rRNA from 1 species
GAUGAACGCUGGCGGCGUGCCUAAUACAUGCAAGUCGAGCGAACAGAUGAGAAGCUUGCUUCUCUGAUGUUAGCGGCGGACGGGUGAGUAACACGUGGGUAACCUACCUAUAAGACUGGGAUAACUCCGGGAAACCGGGGCUAAUACCGGAUAAUAUUUUGAACCGCAUGGUUCAAUAGUGAAAGACGGUUUCGGCUGUCACUUAUAGAUGGACCCGCGCCGUAUUAGCUAGUUGGUAAGGUAACGGCUUACCAAGGCGACGAUACGUAGCCGACCGGAGAGGGUGAUCGGCCACACUGGAACUGAGACGCGGUCCAGACUCCUACGGGAGGCAGCAGUAGGGAAUCUUCCGCAAUGGGCGAAAGCCUGACGGAGCAACGCCGCGUGAGUGAUGAAGGUCUUCGGAUCGUAAAACUCUGUUGUUAGGGAAGAACAAAUUUGUUAGUAACUGAACAAGUCUUGACGGUACCUAACCAGAAAGCCACGGCUAACUACGUGCCAGCCGCCGCAGUAA